CUGAACCAGCCAAGUAGCGUGAAGGAUGAAUGUCCUACGGCAUUGUAAACUUCUUUUAUACGGGAAUAAAGUAUCCUACGUGUAGGAUUUUGUAUGUACCGUAUGAAUAAGCAUCGGCUAACUCCGUGCCAGCAGCCGCGGUAAUACGGAGGAUGCGAGCGUUAUCCGGAUUUAUUGGGUUUAAAGGGAGCGCAGACGGGAGAUUAAGUCAGUUGUGAAAGUUUGCGG
rnacentral:rRNA from 1 species